rnacentral:misc_RNA from 1 species
ACACACACGCCGCCUUUAAAACCGUGGUCUCGAGAACAUGAGGAUUACCUGCUGUGAGGGUCUUAAAGUGUGCGCGAAGGUCAUAAAGUGACGAACUAGGGUGAGCAGACAAGAUAGAGAGCCUCAAUCUGAAUUUAAUUUCUACUUAAACUCUUUCCUUUCAGCAACUUUAGAAUAAAGCAAAUUGCCUUAAGAAACUGGGGCGACUGGGAGUUUGUCUUAACCUCAGGACCUUCUGAAGUUUGUGGCUUUAUUUUUGCACUCCGCUAG